GAUGAACGCUGGCGGCGUGCCUAAUACAUGCAAGUCGAGCGAACAGACGAGGAGCUUGCUCCUUCGACGUUAGCGGCGGACGGGUGAGUAACACGUAGGUAACCUACCUAUAAGACUGGGAUAACUUCGGGAAACCGGAGCUAAUACCGGAUAAUAUUUCGAACCGCAUGGUUCGAUAGUGAAAGAUGGCUUUGCUAUCACUUAUAGAUGGACCUGCGCCGUAUUAGCUAGUUGGUAAGGUAACGGCUUACCAAGGCAACGAUACGUAGCCGACCUGAGAGGGUGAUCGGCCACACUGGAACUGAGACACGGUCCAGACUCCUACGGGAGGCAGCAGUAGGGAAUCUUCCGCAAUGGGCGAAAGCCUGACGGAGCAACGCCGCGUGAGUGAUGAAGGUCUUCGGAUCGUAAAACUCUGUUAUUAGGGAAAAACAAACGUGUAAGUAACUGUGCACGUCUUGACGGUACCUAAUCAGAAAGCCACGGCUAACUACGUG
rnacentral:rRNA from 1 species